rnacentral:tRNA from 1 species
GGCACUAUAGCCAAGUGGUUAAGGCGACAGAUUCGAAUUUUCGUCCAUCUGUUUCCCUAUGGGAGCGCAGGUUCGAACCCUGCUGGUGUCG